rnacentral:piRNA from 1 species
AAUGGUGAGAUUUUUAAAUUCUGAUUCUGA